AGAGUUUGAUCCUGGCUCAGAUUGAACGCUGGCGGCAUGCCUUACACAUGCAAGUCGAACGGUAACAGGUCUUCGGAUGCUGACGAGUGGCGAACGGGUGAGUAAUACAUCGGAACGUGCCCGAUCGUGGGGGAUAACGCAGCGAAAGCUGUGCUAAUACCGCAUACGAUCUACGGAUGAAAGCGGGGGAUCGCAAGACCUCGCGCGGACGGAGCGGCCGAUGGCAGAUUAGGUAGUUGGUGGGAUAAAAGCUUACCAAGCCGACGAUCUGUAGCUGGUCUGAGAGGACGACCAGCCACACUGGGACUGAGACACGGCCCAGACUCCUACGGGAGGCAGCAGUGGGGAAUUUUGGACAAUGGGCGAAAGCCUGAUCCAGCCAUGCCGCGUGCAGGAUGAAGGCCUUCGGGUUGUAAACUGCUUUUGUACGGAACGAAAAAGUCUUCUCUAAUACAGGAGGCGAAUGACGGUACCGUAAGAAUAAGCACCGGCUAANNNNNNNNNAGCCGCCGCGGUAAUAC
rnacentral:rRNA from 1 species